GACGAACGCUGGCGGCGUGCUUAACACAUGCAAGUCGAACGUGAUUUUUGUGGAAAUUCUUUCGGGAAUGGAAAUGAAAUGAAAGUGGCGAACGGGUGAGUAACACGUGAGCAACCUACCUUACACAGGGGGAUAGCCGUUGGAAACGACGAUUAAUACCGCAUGAGACCACAGAAUCGCAUGAUAUAGGGGUAAAAGAUUUAUCGGUGUAAGAAGGGCUCGCGUCUGAUUAGCUAGUUGGAAGGGUAAAGGCCUACCAAGGCGACGAUCAGUAGCCGGUCUGAGAGGAUGAACGGCCACAUUGGAACUGAGACACGGUCCAAACUCCUACGGGAGGCAGCAGUGGGGAAUAUUGCACAAUGGGGGGAACCCUGAUGCAGCGACGCCGCGUGAGCGAAGAAGGUUUUCGAAUCGUAAAGCUCUGUCCUAUGAGAAGAUAAUGACGGUAUCAUAGGAGGAAGCCCCGGCUAAAUACGUGCCAGCAGCCGCGGUAAUACGUAUGGGGCGAGCGUUGUCCGGAAUUAUUGGGCGUAAAGGGUACGUAGGCGGCCUUUUAAGUCAGGUGUGAAAGCGUGAGGCUUAACCUCAUUAAGCACUUGAAACUGGAAGACUUGAGUGAAGGAGAGGAAAGUGGAAUUCCUAGUGUAGCGGUGAAAUGCGUAGAUAUUAGGAGGAAUACCGGUGGCGAAGGCGACUUUCUGGACUUUUACUGACGCUCAGGUACGAAAGCGUGGGGAGCAAACAGG
rnacentral:rRNA from 1 species